UUUUUUUUUUUUUUUUUUAACCUAUAAAAGGGUUAGAGAAAUUCUGACCAGAUCACCUGUCCCAUCAGAGAAGUGUUACAUUGUCACUGUGUGUUUUGUACAUGUAAAUUGAAGUUUAUUGAAUGUUGUUGUAAAUUGUGUCGAGCAGCUAAUGUUAAUAUGCACUCAUACAAGAGUUCUUAGGAUUAAAUCUCCUUUAAAGUUGAUGCUAAAAUAUGGCAAAAGUCAUUAAAAGUUAAAACAGUUUAUGCCAAAUGUCACAAAAAUACACAAAGUUACAGUUAAGCUCAUUUUGAAAGGGAAAUUGAUUUAGUAAUUUCACAAUCACUGCCUUCAAUUGUGGCUUGUUAAAUGACAUGAGUAAGAGUUCACCUCUAAUGAUCAAUGCUGGAAACAACUGUGAUUCAUCUAAUUACCUCCCAUUGUGACGGUUCUGUAUGAAAAGGAAUGUUUCACAAUUUGGUUUUAAAGUCACAUUGUCUUUUAAGCUCCCCAGUGAUCAGAUGUGCUUUUUUUGUUUUCUUUCUUUGCUCGGUUUCUCUGUAAGUUGGAAAAUGGAGCAGCUGUUUCUCUCACACACACACUCACACUCUUUCACAGAUGUGCAUUCUGUCUCUGUGUAGCUGGAACACGUAUACACUCACAUUUCAUAAAUAAUAAAAGAAAUGAGUGCCAGUUGUUUGGUUAAGGCCAGCAUCUGACUAUAUCAAACAAAACCAUUGAUCCAUCCAACAAAUCUCCCUGUUUUUUUCCCCUGAACACACAGUCCUGCUGUGCUGCCCUUUGAAUCCUCUCUUAAACUCCAUUGAGAUUCAUCUGCUGACAUCUUAAUGGUCACACAGUGAUGCCGCAAAACAAUAUUUCUGCUGAGCUAGCAUAUUAGUAUCAUCUGUAUCAUUAUAGUUAUAAAUUUAUCUAAAUAACAUUCAUAUGUAUUGUUGGAUGGAUUUGAGGAAGUGCUCUGUUCAGCUGUUUCGAUGAGCAGUAUGUUAUGAAAUAUUAAACGGCAGAGCUUGUGUUUGUGGUGCUUUAGCUGAGGCAGUGUAUUGCUGCAAUGUGAACAGUAAAUGAGACUGUAAUGUUUGCACGUGGGACGUGUGCGUCCCUACCUCUGCAUCUGUGCCCCAUGGUUUUUUUUUUUUUGUUCUGUAUGAUUGUGUUUUUGGGCUUGUUCAAGUAUGUUUCAGCUUUUUAAAAUAUAAAAAAAUAUAAAAUAUUUCUUGCAGGAGAUCUUCAUGUAAUCAAAUAAGAAAAGCAGUCUUUAUCACUUUAUUCCUCUAGUCAUGGUGCAGUUUGUCACAUUUUUAAUCUAAAUGUUAACUGAAUAUUUUGCAUUUGUAAUUUCAGAAUUGUAAGAAAUAGAUGACCUGUGAAAACUGACAGACCUGACCAGUGAAGGACAGAUCAAUCUUCCUCUUCAUCUCUUCGUGAAACUGAAAGGGUUAAUGGAUGUCUGAGUGUUUCUAUGACAACACAGAUGAGACUGAUGAGCACAACCGUUUGGAAGAGGCUCUCAGUUCAGAAUCCAAAAAUAACCACACACAAAACAAGCCUAAAGAGAUGGCAAGGGAGGAAGAGGAGGUCAAUUAUUGAUAAAGAAAAUUCUGCCCAGACAUCCAAUCCAGCCCAGUCAGUUAACCUCUGCACACCGACUGCAAUUCAGAUGAAAGUUUCAUACUAAAAUAGACCAUGAUGCUUAACUGCAUACAGCUCAGCAUUUACUUAAUGCACAAAGACAGAUGCAUUAAAUGUUCAUAUGACGUUGCUAAAAAUAAAAUUAUUGUGAAAUUGGGUGUAAUGAAAUGUGUUUAUGCAGUUUAAGGUUCAAAAAACAUUAUUUUUCACAUACUGUAGAUUAAUGUUUCUCCUCUGUGCCCCGCCUUUCUGAAAUGCGCUGAUUUUUACAAAGCUCGUAGUUCUGAAAAGCGAGGUCUAUGCUGAUUGGCCAGAUAUCCAAUGAGUUGCGAUUGGCCGAAUACCUCAAGCUUGUGACGCAAAUGUUACACCCCUUACCAUAUUCUGAUGCCAUAUCCCGACGCGAUGACACAAAAAUAAUAAAAGCCAUUACAAAC